rnacentral:lncRNA from 1 species
GCCUGCCCUCUCCUGAGUGASCUCCAGGAGCCCCCAGGAGAAGGAGUAAUCCCCCGCCUCCAUUUCCCUACAGGCUUUCACAUAACCCCUUUUUAAGUUACAGGAGGUGGCAUAUAGCUGAGAACAAGUGUAUGUGCCACGCCGCCGUUCCCAUGCGCGCUCUGUUGCUGCCCACAUUUUCCAUUCUUUCCAACUCUGUGCAUGAGAAGUUCUUUCCCAAAGGUGCAGGAUAGUCCUCCACGGCUUCCUUAAAAAAAAAAAAAAACAGUUUUUUAAUUCCUGCAUGCCAUGUUUUCAAUAGCGAUAGAGCAUAAACAUGUGUUGGCAGAUCAUCAACUAACCUAAGUAGCCAGAACUCUGCUGACUUCAACGGCCAUGGACAAUUCACCACAUCUGAAGACAAACACUAGAGGCUCCGUCCUGCUGACAUGGAAGACAAUGCUGAACCUCCCGCUGGCUUCAUGAGAAGCAGGAUCUGACAUACAAUGCAAUAUCUGGAGAGGGAGUGGCUUGCAGUGUCUCCGGUUUGCGUCCUCCCAGGGUCUCUGCGUGAGGGUGAACAGCAGCACCCCUAUUCCAAAGGGAGGGAGGCCUCUAUGAGCUCUGGCAAUCACAGUCUACAUAUGCCUGGGAUUA